rnacentral:rRNA from 1 species
AGUUAAGAAGCUCGUAGUUGGAUUUCUGUGGGGACGGGGCGGCCGGCCGCAACUCGCGGUUCGAGCUAGCACUUUCCCUACAUCCUGCCGCGAACCGUGCUACCAUUAGUUUGGUGGCGCCGGGGAUCGGCUCGAUUACUUUGAGAAAAAUAGAGUGUUCAAAGCAGGCCACACGCCUUGAGUAAGUUAGCAUGGAAUAAUAACUAAGGACUUCGGUUCUAUUUUGUUGGUGUUCGGGACUGAAGUAAUGAUUGAUAGGGACAGUUGGGGCGGUCAGUAUUCCAAAGCGAGAGGUGAAAUUCUUAGACCUUCGGAAGACUAACAGCUGCGAAAGCGUUCCGCAAGGAUGUUCCCUUUGAUCAAGAACGAAAGUUGGGGGAUCGAAGACGAUCAGAUACCGUCGUAGUCUCAACUAUAAACUAUACCAGCUAGGGAUCGGCCAACGUUAUUUCAUACCGACUUGGUCGGCACCUUAUGAGAAAUCAAAGCAUCUGGGUUCCGGGGGGAGUAUGGUCGCAAGGCUGAAACUUAAAGGAAUUGACGGAAGGGCACCACCAGCCGUGGAGCCUGUGGCUUAAUUUGACUCAACACGGGAAAACUUACCAGGUCCAGACAUAGUAAGGAUUGACAGAUUGAUAGCUCUUUCUUGAUUCUGUG